rfam:Triticum urartu cultivar G1812 contig1160092, whole genome shotgun sequence.
GGAUGUGAUCAUACCAGCACUAAAGCACUGGAUCCCAUCAGAACUCCGAAGUUAAGCGGGCUUGGGCGAGAGUACUACUAGGAUGGGUGUGUUGCAUUCC